rnacentral:rRNA from 1 species
UACGAAGGGGGCGAGCGUUGUUCGGAAUUACUGGGCGUAAAGGGUGUGUAGGUGGACGUGUAAGAUAGCGGUGAAAUACCUGAGCUCAACUUAGGAACUGCCAUUAUAACUAUGCGUCUAGAAUUAUAGAGAGGAUAGCGGAAUACCCAGUGUAGAGGUGAAAUUCGUAGAUAUUGGGUAGAACACCAGUGGCGAAGGCGGCUAUCUGGCUAUAUAUUGACACUGAGGCACGAAAGCAUGGGGAUCAAACAGG